CUUCACAAUCUGCUGCUAAGGCACCCAGGACAACAACAACAGGAAAUUCUUCCAGGCUUUCCUCCAGCUAUGAUUGCCUGAUGACAGUGCCCCAUCUUACCAAGAGAUCAGUGCUUUGCACCUGCCCUGCACCUGAGGUUGGUGGAGUUCACCAGUACCCUUGUAUCCACUGUUCUUCCACUGACAGAAAAUAGUUUCUUGCCACUAUGUGAAGACACAGAUAUUUGUACUUUGGCCACGACUGAAGAGUUAAGCCCUUAUUUUGUGUGCAUAAGGUGAAAAAAAAAAAAAAAAAAAAAAGGACUGAGUGGUUUUUACUCAUAUGCAUUUAAUUACAGUUGCUUUCAGCUGAGCCUUGGGUUGACCUGGCCUUUGUCCAGGUGCUUGGAGAGGAAAUGCAGCAUUUACCUUCAUGAGGCACCAUGUAACAAGACUUGUGCCCUAUGGUCCGUACUUUGGGAAGGAGGAGGAAGAAGAAGAAAAAAAGGAG
ensembl:lncRNA